rnacentral:rRNA from 1 species
UGGCGGGUUCCUAUACAUGCAAGUCGAGCGGACAGAAGGGAGCUUGCUCCCGGAUGUUAGCGGCGGACGGGUGAGUAACACGUGGGUAACCUGCCUGUAAGACUGGGAUAACUCCGGGAAACCGGAGCUAAUACCGGAUAGUUCCUUGAACCGCAUGGUUCAAGGAUGAAAGACGGUUUCGGCUGUCACUUACAGAUGGACCCGCGGCGCAUUAGCUAGUUGGUGGGGUAAUGGCUCACCAAGGCAACGAUGCGUAGCCGACCUGAGAGGGUGAUCGGCCACACUGGGACUGAGACACGGCCCAGACUCCUACGGGAGGCAGCAGUGGGGAAUCUUCCGCAAUGGACGAAAGUCUGACGGAGCAACGCCGCGUGAGUGAUGAAGGUUUUCGGAUCGUAAAGCUCUGUUGUUAGGGAAGAACAAGUGCGAGAGUAACUGCUCGCACCUUGACGGUACCUAACCAGAAAGCCACGGCUAACUACGUGCCAGCAGCCGCGGUAAUACGUAGGUGGCAAGCGUUGUCCGGAAUUUUUGGGCGUAAAGGGCUCGCAGGCGGUUUCUUAAGUCUGAUGUGAAAGCCCCCGGCUCAACCGGGGAGGGUCAUUGGAAACUGGGAAACUUGAGUGCAGAAGAGGAGAGUGGAAUUCCACGUGUAGCGGUGAAAUGCGUAGAGAUGUGGAGGAACACCAGUGGCGAAGGCGACUCUCUGGUCUGUAACUGACGCUGAGGAGCGAAAGCGUGGGGAGCGAACAGGAUUAGAUACCCUGGUAGUCCACGCCGUAAACGAUGAGUGCUAAGUGUUAGGGGGUUUCCGCCCUUUAGUGCUGCAGCUAACGCAUUAAGCACUCCGCCUGGGGAGUACGGUCGCAAGACUGAAACUCAAAGGAAUUGACGGGGGCCCGCACAAGCGGUGGAGCAUGUGGUUUAAUUCGAAGCAACGCGAAGAACCUUACCAGGUCUUGACAUCCUCUGACAACCCUAGAGAUAGGGCUUUCCCUUCGGGGACAGAGUGACAGGUGGUGCAUGGUUGUCGUCAGCUCGUGUCGUGAGAUGUUGGGUUAAGUCCCGCAACGAGCGCAACCCUUGAUCUUAGUUGCCAGCAUUUAGUUGGGCACUCUAAGGUGACUGCCGGUGACAAACCGGAGGAAGGAGAGGAUGAU